UCAACUAGCUGUCGGGGUCUUCGGACUUUGGUAGCGCAGCUAACGCGUGAAGUUGACCGCCUGGGGAGUACGGUCGCAAGAUUAAAACUCAAAGGAAUUGACGGGGACCCGCACAAGCGGUGGAUGAUGUGGAUUAAUUCGAUGCAACGCGAAAAACCUUACCUACCCUUGACAUGUCUGAAAUCCCGAAGAGAUUUGGGAGUGCUCGGAAAGAGAAUCGGAACACAGGUGCUGCAUGGCCGUCGUCAGCUCGUGUCGUGAGAUGUUGGGUUAAGUCCCGCAACGAGCGCAACCCUUGUCAUUAGUUGCUACGAAAGGGCACUCUAAUGAGACUGCCGGUGACAAACCGGAGGAAGGUGGGGAUGACGUCAGGUCCUCAUGGCCCUUAUGGGUAGGGCUUCACACGUCAUACAAUGGUCGGGACAGAGGGCAGCCAACCCGCGAGGGGGAGCCAAUCCCAGAAACCCGAUCGUAGUCCGGAUUGCAGUCUGCAACUCGACUGCAUGAAGUCGGAAUCGCUAGUAAUCGCGGAUCAGCAUGCCGCGGUGAAUACGUUCCCGGGUCUUGUACACACCGCCCGUCACACCAUGGGAGUGGGUUCUACCAGAAGUAGUUAGCCUAACCGCAAGGAGGGCGAUUACCACGGUAGGG
rnacentral:rRNA from 1 species